UAGCAAUACUUAGUGGCAGACGGGUGAGUAACAUGUAGGUAUCUGCCCUAUGGCCUGGAAUAACACGAGGAAACUUGUGCUAAUACCGGAUAAGUCUUUACGGAGAAAGCUUUAUGCACCAUUGGAUGAGCCUGCACUUGAUUCGUUUGUUGGUAGGGUAAUGGCCUACCAAGACUUUGAUCAAUAGCUGAUUUGAGAGGAUGAUCAGCCACAUUGGGACUGAGACACGGCCCAAACUCCUACGGGAGGCAGCAGUGGGGAAUCUUGCACAAUGGAGGAAACUCUGAUGCAGCGAUGCCGCGUGAGUGAAGAAGGCCCUUGGGUUGUAAAGCUCUUUCGUCGGGGAAGAAAAUGACUGUACCCGAAUAAGAAGGUCCGGCUAACUUCGUGCCAGCAGCCGCGGUAAUACGAAGGGACCUAGCGUAGUUCGGAAUUACUGGGCUUAAAGAGUUCGUAGGUGGUUGAAAAAGUUGGUGGUGAAAUCCCAGAGCUUAACUCUGGAACUGCCAUCAAAACUUUUCAGCUAGAGUUUGAUAGAGGAAAGCAGAAUUUCUAGUGUAGAGGUGAGAUUCGUAGAUAUUAGAAAGAAUACCAAUUGCGAAGGCAGCUCUCUGGAUCAUUACUGACACUGAGGAACGAAAGCAUGGGUAGCGAAGAGGAUUAGAUACCCUCGUAGUCCAUGCCGUAAACGAUGUGUGUUAGACGUUGGAAAUUUAUUUUCAGUGUCGCAGCGAAAGCGAUAAACACACCGCCUGGGGAGUACGACCGCAAGGUUAAAACUCAAAUGAAUUGACGGGGACCCGCACAAGUAGUGGAGCAUGUGGUUUAAUUCGAAGAUACGCGCAGAACCUUACCAACACUUGACAUGUUCGUCGCGACUUUAAGAGAUUAAAGUUUUCGGUUCGGCCGGACGAAACACAGGUGCUGCAUGGCUGUCGUCAGCUCGUGUCGUGAGAUGUUGGGUUAAGUCCCGCAACGAGCGCAACCCUCACUUUUAGUUGCCAUCAUUAAGUUGGGCACUC
rnacentral:rRNA from 1 species